GAUGAACGCUGGCGGCGUGCUUAACACAUGCAAGUCGAACGAUGAACCGGGUGCUUGCACUCGGGGAUUAGUGGCGAACGGGUGAGUAACACGUGAGCAACCUGCCCCUGACUCUGGAAUAAGCGCUGGAAACGGCGUCUAAUACUGGAUAUGUCCCGUCACCGCAUGGUGUGCGGGUGGAAAGAUUUUUCGGUUGGGGAUGGGCUCGCGGCCUAUCAGCUUGUUGGUGAGGUAAUGGCUCACCAAGGCGUCGACGGGUAGCCGGCCUGAAAGGGUGACCGGCCACACUGGGACUGAGACACGGCCCAGACUCCUACGGGAGGCAGCAGUGGGGAAUAUUGCACAAUGGGCGGAAGCCUGAUGCAGCAACGCCGCGUGAGGGAUGACGGCCUUCGGGUUGUAAACCUCUUUUAGCAGGGAAGAAGCGAGAGUGACGGUACCUGCAGAAAAAGCACCGGCUAACUACGUGCCAGCAGCCGCAGUAA
rnacentral:rRNA from 1 species